rnacentral:rRNA from 1 species
GACUAACGCUGGCGGCGUGCCUAACACAUGCAAGUCGAACGGACCCUUCGGGGUUAGUGGCAGACGGGUGAGUAACACGUAGGUAAUGUGCCCUCUUGCCGGGGAUAUCUGUUGGAAACGGCAGUUAAUACCGGAUGGUCCAACUUUGAGGCAUCUCUUAGUUGGUAAACUGAUUUAGGGUGAGAGGAGCAGCUUGCGGUUUUUACCAUCAGCUAGUUGGUGAGGUAAUGGCCCACCAAGGCAACGACGGUUAGCCGGUCUGAGAGGAUGAUCGGCCACACUGGAACUGAGACACGGCCCAGACUCCUACGGGAGGCAGCAGUUGGGAAUCUUCGGCAAUGGGCGCAAGCCUGACCGAGCAACGCCGCGUGAGUGAUGAAGGUUUUCGGAUUGUAAAGCUCUGUCUUCCGGGACGAUAAUGACGGUACCGGAGGAGGAAGCCACGGCUAACUACGUG